rnacentral:rRNA from 1 species
UACGUAGGGUCCGAGCGUUGUCCGGAAUUACUGGGCGUAAAGAGCUCGUAGGUGGUUUGUCGCGUUGUUCGUGAAAACUCACAGCUUAACUGUGGGCGUGCGGGCGAUACGGGCAGACUGGAGUACUGCAGGGGAGACUGGAAUUCCUGGUGUAGCGGUGGAAUGCGCAGAUAUCAGGAGGAACACCAGUGGCGAAGGCGGCCCUCUGGGUCGACCCUGACGCUGAGGCGCGAAAGCGUGGGGAGCGAACGGG